AAGUAUCUUCUCCAUCAGGCGCAGACCUGGCAGUUCCAUUCCCGGAAUGGGGCUGCGGAACAUCAGAGCACAGAAGGGGCAUGAAUCGACGAAACCGCGGACCGGUAGAUACGCUUCCGUCCCUCCGAAUGUAUCGCCGAAUUGUCGUCUUCCGCAGCACCGAGUCGCAGCCCUCUCGUUGACUCACCACGGCCUAAGAACGUGAGAACGCCACCACGCCGACACCACCAGCGCCAAAAGAAGCGGAAAAAAAGAAGAAAGAAUCUCAGAUCCGAACUCCCUCAACUUUCUCAUUCGCUUCACCCAAUCUACACCUCCCUUUUCUCCCAAAUUUAAACCACCUUAGCGGCAGAGAUCUGAUCUCAUCCUUCCCGAUCUCUUUCUUGAAUCCGUUUUUGUCGAAGUUAGAUUCAACCAAAAGAUGGUUCUUGGGAGGAGGUUUUUAAGGCAAGAAUGAUGUCCUAGAGUUCAGAAUAAGAGGGGAAUUAGAUGGGAGAAAGCAAAUUAGGACCAGCGAAAGGUAUGGGAGAAGAAGAAGAAGAAGAAGAAGAAGGGGAGACAACAGCGGCGGCGGAAACCAAGAGCGAUGAGGUUGCGAGCAAAAACGACAGGCCAGUGCUCCGGAGGGAGCCGUCCUUCUCGCGGUGGUGCAAAGAGGACGCGAUCGAUGGAUCUUCCGAGUCCACCAUCGCAGAAGAUUCUGACCAGCCACUGCUCCAAAGAGGCGGGCAGCAAAGCAUGAAUCAAAGCAGAUCGGCUCAUACCGGGGCGAAUGGAAACGGGAUGAAUUACUCUCCUUUCGAUAUCGAGAAUGGGAUCCAUGCUACCAAUUCAAGAACGAAGCUGGAAACACUACAAGUCUCUGCGCAGAGCCCCCUCUCUGCAGCCAAUAUCAUCAAGGCUUUGUUUUGUAUACUGGUUUGGUACACCUUCAGUACCUGUUUGACGCUGUAUAAUAAGACAUUGCUUGGGGAACAUAUGGGGAAGUUCCCGGCUCCACUAUUGAUGAAUACCGUUCACUUCACAAUGCAAGCUGUUUUGUCGAAGGCUAUUUUAUAUUUCCAGUCCCGGGGUUCUGAAAGCAGAGGCCCUGCGAUGACAUGGAGGGAUUACUUCAUCAGAGUUGUGCCAACUGCUAUUGGAACUGCAUUGGAUGUAAACCUGAGCAAUAUUUCUCUUGUUUUCAUAUCUGUGACAUUUGCUACAAUGUGCAAGUCUGCGGCCCCAAUAUUUCUCCUUCUGUUUGCAUUUGCAUUUAGGUUGGAGAGUCCCAGUAUUAAGCUUCUAGGUAUCAUCCUUAUCAUUUCCAUAGGAGUUCUACUAACAGUUGCCAAGGAGACAGAGUUCAAUAUCUGGGGAUUUGUUUUUGUUAUGCUUGCUGCUGUUAUGUCAGGCUUUCGCUGGUGCAUGACUCAGAUUCUUUUGCAGAAAGAGGCCUAUGGUCUAAAGGAUCCAAUUGCUCUGAUGAGCUAUGUUACCCCUGUGAUGGCAGUAGCUACAGCGAUCCUAUCUCUUAUUAUGGAUCCGUGGCAUAGCUUCAGGACAAAUAAAUACUUUGAUAGUUCAAAGCAUGUAAUAUUGAGUUGCCUGUUACUGCUUUUGGGAGGUUUCUUGGCAUUUUUCAUGGUUUUAACUGAAUAUUUUCUUGUUUCGGCAACCAGUGCAGUAACAAUAACAAUAGCUGGCAUUGUUAAAGAAGCUGUCACAAUUUUGGUUGCAGUUCUAUAUUUUCAUGAUCAAUUUACCUUGCUAAAGGGAAUUGGACUCCUCACGAUAAUGGUUGGGGUUAGUUUAUUCAACUGGUACAAAUAUCAAAAGCUGAAAAAGAGUUGGCCUAGCAAAACUGAAGAUACAAAUCCUCCCCUUCCCAACGUAGCUGCAAAGUACGUUAUCAUUGAUGAUGUUGAUUUUCAUGAUGAAGAAACUUGAUUUUUUGGCAUCAUAUGCAACAGUUCUUAACUGCUGCUUCAAUUUCCGUGAUGUGCGACCACCUUCUGAAUAGUUCCAUCAGCGCCUGCUCUCCCCACGACUUAAUAAUCUCUCACAAAGGCCGUGGUUCCUCAAAACAACAUCCUGGGAGUUAGGAUAAGCUAUUGACAGGGUGAUAAGUGGUUCUUCCUAGACUCACACAAAUCUGUCAGCUUGGACUGCGAGCUUAGAUGGCACACUCAUAGUUCGCACACUGGAUUGACUUCUCAGUUAUCACACAUGCAACCUCAUGCAUUCUGGUGGCUCUGGAAUCCUACCAUUCAUCUACCAGAGCACCCUUCAGUGCCGUGCCAAAAGGUGACUUACCAUACAAGCUCAUCCUUAUCUUGAAUUACAAUUAAAAUGAACAACCGGGAGCAAAAAUGUCUCCCCAAAAGUAUCCUUGUGCCAUUGGAACUAAAUUUCUCAUUCAUGUAUUUUAAGCAUAGGAUUUUGGAGGUCGCAUGCAAAUUGGUUAAAUUUUAAAUCACGUGUUUUUCUUUUUGGGUAAUCAUUUAUUAUGAGAUUUCUUAUACCUGUUAGUUGACUCCUGAUUACAUGUGAAGAUGUACAGAAUUUGUAUAAUUAUGACAUCAAAGCCUGCAAUCAAGUGGGGCUUGGCCCCUUAUAUA